CCAAAUGUUUUUUCUAAUAUGAUUUUUCUUAUAUCUACUACUUUUAUAUCUCUAAGUGCAUACAAAAUAAGUAUUUUAAAUUUAUCUACCAUCACAUCAGAUAAAUAAUUAUUCAUUUUUAUAAAAUUGCUUUUUUCAAAAUAUUCCCUUCAACCAUGUACAUAACAAAAUAUGGUCAUCUUAGCUUACUAUAUACUAGAUUAUUCUUAAAUAA
rnacentral:lncRNA from 1 species